rnacentral:sRNA from 1 species
AUAAAAAAGUUUCUCCAAAUGAGCUCAUCCUGGGCUGGUAAGUUAGGGAGGUGGGGGCUGGGGAUAAUGAAAGGUCUCUCCGUGAUUGCCAGUGUCUUUUGCUACUGGACUGGAUCUUAUCCUCUUCCUUUUGGAGGCAAGAGUAUUGCAAGUGUAUUACUGACUGCAAGCAGUGGCUCAAUGCCUGUAAUCCCAGCUGGCAGGCUGAGGCAGGAGGAUCACUUGGGCCCAGUAGUUCAAGAUCAACCUGAGCAAAAUAGUGAGACCCUGUCUCUACAAAAACAUUUUUUAAAAACUUAGCCAGGCAUGAUGACACACUUAUAGUCCUAGCUACUCAGGAGGCUGAAGUUAGAGGAUCACUUGAGGCCAGGAAUUUGAAGCUGCAGUGAGCUAUGAUCAUGCCUUGCCACUGCACUCCAGCCUGAGUGACAGAGUGAGACCCUGUCUCUAAAAAACAAAAGGAAAGUGUGUUACCUGUAGGAACUGUGAAUUCAGUGGGUUUUGCUGGUGGUUCUGAUCCUGUGGGGCCAGGAUAUUUUGAAUUACUUUGUAAGAGACUUGGAAUUUUUCAACAGCACUAAGUCAGCCUUUGAUUUUAUUUGGCAUAGUUUUCAAUGUGUGUAUUGUUCUUGGAAUUUGGUAUCACUAGGUAUCCCUACCAUAGAGGUAUCGGGUACCCUAAAGACACCCAUGCUACUGUUGUGUUUGAUAUUGAUGUCACAUAUAGACAUGAGUCCACCACUGUGUUCCAUUUCACAGGUACGCUACAGGCCAUGACAUCACAGAGCACUCUGUGCUGAUCCAUGAGUACUACAGCCGAGAGGCCCCCAACCCCAUCCACCUCACUGUGGACACAAGUCUCCAGAACGGCCGCAUGAGCAUCAAAGCCUAUGUCAGCACUUUAAUGGGCGUCCCUGGGAGGACCAUGGGAGUGAUGUUCACACCUCUGACAGUGAAAUACGCGUACUAUGACACUGAACGCAUCGGAGUUGACCUGAUCAUGAAGACCUGCUUUAGCCCCAACAGAGUGAUUGGACUCUCAAGUGACUUGCAGCAAGUAGGAGGGGCAUCAGCUCGCAUCCAGGAUGCCCUGAGCACAGUGUUGCAAUAUGCAGAGGAUGUACUGGUGAGAGGGGAAAGGAAAAACAAAGGGGGAGGACAUAGUUCUCCAUCCUGAAAUCACUGAGGCACGUGCUAAUGAAGUGGUAGGGCCCAGUGGUUAUAAUUAACUGCCUCAUUGAGUCUUUGUUUUGGUAUUCAGUCUGGAAAGGUGUCAGCUGACAAUACUGUGGGCCGCUUCCUGAUGAGCCUGGUUAACCAAGUACCAAAAAUAGUUCCCGAUGACUUCGAGACCAUGCUCAACAGCAACAUCAAUGUGAGUGUCCUUCCUGAGCCCCUUCUUGCCUGGUUUCUUCCCCCACCUCAGUACAUACACUCAAAUGUGAAAAGAGUUGGGUGAGGUGACCUGGAGUAGGAUAGAGACAGGGCUUCACCUGUAGCCCCAUUGAAGUCCAGGUUGGGAGGAAGGAAGAGGUGUGUUAUGCAUGGUUGGAGACUUCCUUCCUUCUCCCGUGAUUCCAUUGUCUCAUUUACUGCUGAUACUACUGUGACUUACUGUCUAAAUUCGUGAUGAAAAGAAACUAAAAUUCAGAGGUUAAUGAAAAUGCAAUUACUUAUUUUCCCCAUCUGAGUUCACAUACCCCCUAUAUGCCAUCCAUGGGUUUCAGCUAAGGCACCCCUAGUCUAUAAGUUGUAUCAGUAGAGAUAAGAAAGUCUUCUCAAGCAUUUCCUUUCUGUCUUCUACCUUUUUGACUUUUAUUCAGUCUCUCCCAGCUGUCAUUUAUCCACAGCUGUCCUCAUACCCAGUGUCUACCAUAGAGCUGGCCAAAGCCAGCCUUUUUGCUCCCUUUCCAUGCAACCCCCCGCUCAUUGUGUAUUCUUUGUCUUCCAGGACCUGUUGAUGGUGACCUACCUGGCCAACCUCACACAGUCACAGAUCGCCCUCAAUGAAAAACUCGUAAACCUGUGAAUGGACCCCAGGCAGUACACUUGCUGGUCUAAGUCUUAACCCCAGGACUCAGAAGUGAAGGAGAAAUGGGUUUUUUGUGGUCUUGAGUCACACUGAGAUAGUCAGUUAUGUGUGACUCUAAUAAAUGGAGCCUACCUUUUGUAAAUU